AAUCUUUAAGUGAAGAUAAGAUUAGGAAUCUAAUUGAAAAUGGGAAUAAGUUGGAAAGUAGCUUAUAAUAAUGAAAAAAAAUGAUAACAAAUCAUAGCUUUGUUGACAUUUAUCAUAAACUUAUUGCUCUUCUUGUGUGUUAAAACUAGCCAGUUCAAUUGAUUCCAAUCGAGCUUUGAUUUGUGCUUUAAUCAUGCUAAUUCCUAGUCUGAUUUUAACGUGCCUCAUAGCACUUUCAGAUGAAGCUUUUGAAGCUGAUCGUGUAACCAAAUUACCAGGAUUAAGUGGUGAAAUUAAAUUUAACGCUUUCUCUGGAUAUCUUGAUGGAGAGCCAGGAACUCAUUUGCAUUACAUUUUUGUUGAGAGUCAAAAUGAUCCAGCCAAUGACCCGUUGCUUCUUUGGCUCAAUGGUGGACCUGGAUGUAGUUCGCUGCUUGGAUUUUUCACGGAACAAGGACCAUUCCGUGUUAAUGGCACCCAAUUAACUGAAAAUCAAUACUCAUGGAACAAAGUGGCCAACAUGAUUUUUCUUGAAUCACCAGCGGGUGUUGGCUAUUCUUACUCUGACUCUGGAAACUAUACACAUGAUGAUGAUUCAACUUCAGCCAACAACUUGCUUGCCUUAAAAUCCUGGUUUGUAAAAUUUCCUGAAUACAAGAAUCACGAUUUCUACUUGACCGGUGAAUCUUAUGCUGGUGUUUACAUUCCUACGUUAUCUGUCCGUCUUCUCGAGGAACCAAGUAUAAACUAUAAAGGUUUUGCUAUUGGUAAUGGUUAUUUGGAUCGAGUUUUACUUGGUAAUUCUGCUAUUAGGUUUGCCUAUCACCAUGGACUUAUCGAUUCAUCCAUGUGGCGCAAAAUUAUCACAUCAUGUUGUAACAAUGGCGAUGAAUCACCAGAAAAUUGUGACUUUGUUCAAACCACUGAUUACAAAUGUAGCAAAGCUGUUGCUAUUGCCAGUAAUUUCAUCAACAGUAUCAAUCUUAACCCAUACUCCAUUUAUGAAGAUUGUAGGACAACGGCAAGUUCAUUGGCUGUUGACACAUUGGUUACCAGAAAACACAGAAGCAACCGACGCAAAUUGGGCUGGUCUUUGAUCAGGAAAACAUUGAAACAAAGUGAAACACUGGAAGUUGAGGACGAUCCUAUUACUCAAACCAUACCAUGUGUUGAUGAUGCCAUUUUAAUCCGUUAUUUGGGUCGAACCGAUGUACGACAAGCACUCAAUAUCCCUUCGGCUGCACCUGAUUGGGUUGAUUGUUCAACAGUUGUUUCGUCAAAUUAUACCAUGCAGAAUCCAAGCUUGAAGACACAAGUCGCCGCCUCAAUCAGGGCAGGUAAACGAGGUCUCAUUUACAAUGGUGACACUGAUAUGGUUUGUGACUUCUUGGGUGAUGAAUGGUUCUCAGAUCAACUUGGUUUUCAACAAAUCGGUUCUUACGAAGCCUGGUACGUUAAUGGCCAAGUCGCUGGUUUUGUUAAGCACUACGACGGAUUUGCCUAUGCAACCAUUAGAGGCUCAGGUCACACUGUACCCGAAUACCGACCAGCAGCUGCGCUGUUUAUGAUUGAAGCCUUUUUAAACAGCACCAAAUUUGAUUAAUUGUCAUCAGCUGUAGUAUCCUCUACCCAGUAAAAAGACUUUUUUCAUAACAA